GUAAGCUUCGGCUUCACGCACCUGCGUGAGUGGCAGCCCGCCUGAGGCGGCGCUCACGUAUCGCAAAGUCGGGCUGGCGGCGCUUGGGGCCUCAACGAGUGCCGUAAGAGAUUAAAGAGGCUUGUUGCUACCAGGGCUGACGGAGCGCCGAGGUAGCGAGACCACAAAGCUCUGUCUACGCACGUAGGAGCGGUAUCGGAGUCAUGCUCGGACCGGGGUUCGAUUCCCCGCGCCUCCAUCA
rnacentral:tmRNA from 1 species